UGCGUAGGCGGUUCGAUAAGUCUCGCGUGAAAUCUCUCGGCUUACCCGGGAAACUGCGCUGGAAACUGUCGAGCUCGAGCGUGGGAGAGGCAGAUGGAAUUCCUGGUGUAGCGGUAAAAUGCGUAGAUAUCAGGAAGAACACUCGUGGCGAAGGCGGUCUGCUGGCCCAUUUCUGACGCUGAGGCUGAAAGCUGGGGGAGCAAACA
rnacentral:rRNA from 1 species